AAGCGAAACUAAAAAGAGAGUUG
rnacentral:snRNA from 1 species